ACUCAAAGGAAUAGACGGGGGCCCGCACAAGCAGCGGAGCGUGUGGUUUAAUUCGAUGCAACGCGCAGAACCUUACCUGGGCUUGACAUGCUGGAAGUAGAACCGGGAAACCGGGACGACCUGUUGAGUCAGGAGUCAGCACAGAUGCUGCAUGGCUGUCGUCAGCUCGUGCCGUGAGGUGUUGGGUUAAGUCCCGCAACGAGCGCAACCCUCGUCGCCAGUUACCUUUUCUGGCGAGACCGCCGGGAUUAACCCGGAGGAAGGUGGGGAUGACGUCAAGUCAGCACGGCUCUUACGUCCAGGGCUACACACACGCUACAAUGGCCGGUACAACGGGCAGCGAAGGGGCGACCCGGAGCGAAUCCCAGCAAAGCCGGUCUCAGUUAGGAUCGGAGGCUGCAACUCGCCUCCGUGAAUGCGGAGUUGCUAGUAACCGUGGGUCAGCACACCACGGUGAAUACGUUCCCGGGCCUUGUACACACCGCCCGU
rnacentral:rRNA from 1 species